AUGCUAGAUCAUGUCUUUUGAAAAUUUGUUCUUUGAAGAGAUUAGACAACUCUAAUGGGGCCUAAAGAUUCACACUUUCCUGAAUUGAGCUUACCAAACACAGGACCCUUCAUUACUCUGCAAGAUCUCAAGCUCUCCAUUCCGUUACUCAGCACCUUGCCUCUAACUCGAGAUGAUGCAGCGAUGGUUCUCUUAGCUCAGAUGAAUUUGAUUUGUUCCAGAAACAGGUUGAAUUUAUGCGCAAUUUUAAGCACAGAGAUGAGCAGUACAAGACCGUGUUGACCGAGAAACUUCAACGUGCAGACAACAGAAGCUUGAUACAUGGUGGAGAUCUUGACAGCAGCCUUGCAAAUUAGAUUUGCUUGCAUCUGGUUGAAGGGUUAUUCGUAGUUACUCUCAUUCACCAUGUAAAUAGAUCAAUUCCAUUGUAUAUGCUAAAAUACUUAUGUAGGUUAUCAUUGUAAAGAGGUCCUAAUGUUUUAGAACCUGUUGUUGAUCCAAAAACAAUAGCCAGACGUCUAUAAUGUGUGAGGUGUGAUGAAUGUGUUCAAACCUCAUAAACAAUAGUUGUAGAGUCAGAAAAUAAUAAUGAUUGCUUAGAAAAUUUGUGUUAGCUUUUAAGUUUUUUCCUUACAAAUACGAAAUAACUGGGACUAUUUAUCUA